rnacentral:rRNA from 1 species
AUUGAACGCUGGCGGCAGGCCUAACACAUGCAAGUCGAACGGUAACAGGAAGAAGCUUGCUUCUUUGCUGACGAGUGGCGGACGGGUGAGUAAUGUCUGGGAAACUGCCUGAUGGAGGGGGAUAACUACUGGAAACGGUAGCUAAUACCGCAUAACGUCGCAAGACCAAAGAGGGGGACCUUCGGGCCUCUUGCCAUCGGAUGUGCCCAGAUGGGAUUAGCUAGUAGGUGGGGUAACGGCUCACCUAGGCGACGAUCCCUAGCUGGUCUGAGAGGAUGACCAGCCACACUGGAACUGAGACACGGUCCAGACUCCUACGGGAGGCAGCAGUGGGGAAUAUUGCACAAUGGGCGCAAGCCUGAUGCAGCCAUGCCGCGUGUAUGAAGAAGGCCUUCGGGUUGUAAAGUACUUUCAGCGGGGAGGAAGGGAGUAAAGUUAAUACCUUAGCUCAUUGACGUUACCCGCAGAAGAAGCACCGGCUAACUCCGUG